AGGACGAACGCUGGCGGCGUGCUUAACACAUGCAAGUCGAGCGGUAAGGCCUUUCGGGGUACACGAGCGGCGAACGGGUGAGUAACACGUGGGUGAUCUGCCCUGCACUUCGGGAUAAGCCUGGGAAACUGGGUCUAAUACCGGAUAUGACCUCCUAUCGCAUGGUGGGUGGUGGAAAGAUUUAUCGGUGCAGGAUGGGCCCGCGGCCUAUCAGCUUGUUGGUGGGGUAAUGGCCUACCAAGGCGACGACGGGUAGCCGACCUGAGAGGGUGACCGGCCACACUGGGACUGAGACACGGCCCAGACUCCUACGGGAGGCAGCAGUGGGAAUAUUGCACAAUGGGCGAAAGCCUGAUGCAGCGACGCCGCGUGAGGAUGACGGCCUUCGGGUUGUAAACCUCUUUCAGCAGGACGAAGCGCAAGUGACGGUACCUGCAGAAGAAGCACCGGCUAACUACGUGCCAGCAGCCGC
rnacentral:rRNA from 1 species